rnacentral:rRNA from 9 species
UUAGGCCGGGAACUCAAAGGAGACUGCCAGUGAUAAACUGGAGGAAGGUGGGGAUGACGUCAAGUCAUCAUGGCCCUUACGACCAGGGCUACACACGUGCUACAAUGGCGCAUACAAAGAGAAGCGACCUCGCGAGAGCAAGCGGACCUCAUAAAGUGCGUCGUAGUCCGGAUUGGAGUCUGCAACUCGACUCCAUGAAGUCGGAAUCGCUAGUAAUCGUGGAUCAGAAUGCCACGGUGAAUACGUUCCCGGGCCUUGUACACACCGCCCGUCACACCAUGGGAGUGGGUUGCAAAAGAAGUAGGUAGCUUAACCUUCGGGAGGGCGCUUACCACUUUGUGAUUCAUGACUGGGGUGAAGUCGUAACAAGGUAACCGUAGGGGAACCUGCGGUUGGAUCACCUCCUUACCUUAAAGAAGC